ACUCCUACGGGAGGCAGCAGUGGGGAAUAUUGCACAAUGGGGAAACCCGUGAUGCAGCCAUGCCGCGUGUGUGAAGAAGGCCUUCGGGUUGUAAAGCACUUUCAGCGAGGAGGAAAGGGUGUAAGUUAAUACCUUACAUCUGUGACGUUACUCGCAGAAGAAGCACCGGCUAACUCCGUGCCAGCAGCCGCGGUAAUACGGAGGGUGCGAGCGUUAAUCGGAAUUACUGGGCGUAAAGCGUGCGCAGGCGGUUUGUUAAGCGAGAUGUGAAAGCCCGC
rnacentral:rRNA from 1 species